rnacentral:rRNA from 1 species
AUACGGAGGGUGCAAGCGUUAAUCGGAAUUACUGGGCGUAAAGCGCUCGUAGGCGGUUUGUUAAGUCGGAUGUGAAAGCCCCGGGCUCAACCUGGGAACUGCAUUCGAUACUGGCAAACUAGAGUAUAGUAGAGGCAAGUGGAAUUCCGGGUGUAGCGGUGAAAUGCGUAGAUAUCCGGAGGAACAUCAGUGGCGAAGGCGACUUGCUGGACUAAUACUGACGCUGAGGAGCGAAAGCGUGGGGAGCAAACAGUAUUAGAAACCCCUGUAGUCC